AAGAAAAGAAAAGAAAAGAAAAGAAAAGAAAAGAAAAGAAAAGAAAAGAAAAGAUUCCAUACCACGUAAAGGGACUGACUGGAGAUGAGCCGGCCUGAGAGCUCACAGAAGUCUACCUGUCCUCAAACAGGACCAGGGUGUUGAAGGCAGCCCCUGGGAAUCUCCUUCUCUCACAAGGCCUAACCUGCUCCCAGAUGACUUCUGCCUCUAUGCUGACCUUCGUGCAAGAGUGGACACGUGACAGAAACACCGUGCUGUGCCAGGAGGACUUGGGGGUCUGCUCACCCCAACUCUUCUCAAACUUAACUGCAGCCACCCCUGGCUCUUUCCCCCUGGGAAGACACCCAGUCCCUGAGCCUCAGUUUCCCCAACUACAUCCCAGUGGAGCAAUAAUGCUCAUUCUACCAGGUUGCUGAGGAGAACAGACAGCAGUCUCAGAGUUCACAGGAGUCCUUUCAAUUGUCAAGUGCCCUGCAGACAUCAAUUAUUAUGGCUGCUUUAGGGCAGUUGUGUAUUUCAACAGUGAACCCUGGCAUCUCUUUUCAACUCUA